UUGAACGCUGGCGGCAUGCCUUACCCCUGCCAGUCGAACGGUAACGGGCCUUCGGGUGCCGCCGAGUGGCGAACGGGUGAGUAAUACAUCGGAACGUGCCCGAUCGUGGGGGAUAACGAGGCGAAAGCUUUGCUAAUACCGCAUACGAUCUACGGAUGAAAGCAGGGGACCGCAAGGCCUUGCGCGGACGGAGCGGCCGAUGGCAGAUUAGGUAGUUGGUGGGAUAAAAGCUUACCAAGCCGACGAUCUGUAGCUGGUCUGAGAGGAUGAUCAGCCACACUGGGACUGAGACACGGCCCAGACUCCUACGGGAGGCAGCAGUGGGGAAUUUUGGACAAUGGGCGCAAGCCUGAUCCAGCCAUGCCGCGUGCAGGAUGAAGGCCUUCGGGUUGUAAACUGCUUUUGUACGGAACGAAAAGCCUUCUUUUAAUACAGGAGGGUCAUGACGGUACCGUAAGAAUAAGCACCGGCUAACUACGUG
rnacentral:rRNA from 1 species